rnacentral:rRNA from 1 species
UAAGGAAUAUUGGUCAAUGGACGCAAGUCUGAACCAGCCAUGCCGCGUGGAGGAUGAAGGUCCUCUGGAUUGUAAACUUCUUUUAUAUGGGACGAAAAAGGGCUUUUCCAAGUCAACUGACGGUACCAUAUGAAUAAGCACCGGCUAACUCCGUGCCAGCAGCCGCGGUAAUACGGAGGGUGCAAGCGUUAUCCGGAUUCACUGGGUUUAAAGGGUGCGUAGGUGGGUUGGUAAGUCAGUGGUGAAAUCCCCGAGCUUAACUCGGGAACUGCCAUUGAUACUAUCAGUCUUGAAUACCGUGGAGGUCAGCGGAAUAUGUCAUGUAGCGGUGAAAUGCUUAGAUACGACAUAGAACACCAAUUGCGAAGGCAGCUGGCUACACGAAUAUUGACACUGAGGCACGAAAGCUGGGGAUCAAACAGGAUUAGAUACCCUGGUAGUCCACGCCCUAAACUAUGGAUACUCGACAUACGCGAUAC